CCCUUAGAUGUUCUGGGCCGCACGCGUGCUACACUGAGUAAUUCAAUGGGUAAGGGAACGCUAGAGCAUUACCUAAUCUUGAAAUUUGCUCGUGAUGGGGAUCGACGGUUGCAAUUUUCCGUCGUGAACGAGGAAUACCUUGUAGGCGCAUGUCAUCAUCAUGCGCCGAAUACGUCCCUGCCCUUUGUACACACCGCCCGUCGCUCCUACCGAUUGAGUGAUCCGGGGAGGCUCUGGGACCUGGACGGAAAGAGCGUUUCGCUUGUUCUGUUUGGGAAACUUGGUCGAACCUUAUCAUUUAGAGGAAGGAGAAGUCGUAACA
rnacentral:rRNA from 1 species